GAGAAACAUAUCCCCCUUAUUGCUCCUAUGUUCCAUCAUCUUUCCCAUACCUCAUCCUUACCAAAAGUGACUGUGUUGACCACCAAAACAGCCAUUGGCCGACCAUGCACCCCAUUUUCCAUCAUUUUCUUCCUCCUCUCUACUCUUCGUUUCUUUCUUUUUGGUCACCACAACCACCACCCUUUUCUUUCCACCACCUUGAGUUUGUUUCCACCACCACCCCAUCAUCUUCCACAACCAACAUUCCCUCUAUUUUCCUUUCAGUUUCCCCUCUCCUAUUCCACCAUGCGUUGUUGUGUCAGCUGCCGCAACCACCAUGGGUAACAUUUUCCUCCACUGAUUUUCUUCUCUUCUCUCCUUUUCUCCUCCCUUUCAAAUAAAAGUGGCCAAACCCUCCUUCCUACUUGUAUUUUUCACCAUCAUCGAACAACAGCACCCCUGUAGCCGGACCACCGCCAAGCCGCCGCCAUUGAUUAUCCAGCCUUCAAUUUCGCUCUAUUUUUUUUCCUUCGAUCAUCUCGUAACAAAACAAGUGACCGAUUAACAAUCCUCCUAGAAAUCAAUAGUGAAACAUCGCGAGAGUGACGAACUCAAGCAUUCGAAUUGAGGGUAAUCCUCGUACUUAAGGCUCGGAUUUGGAUCUUCGGUGAGGCUCUCGAUAUAAUAUGUUUUCAUGGUUAUGGAUUUUGGAAAUGGUUUGGUAUUUUUAUGGACUUUUUGAACUUCUUUUGGGCUUUUACUAUGGACUUUAAAUUGGGUUUGUUUAAAUGAUUUUGGGACAUUAAAUUUUAUAUUAUGAACUGUGGUAUGAGACACUAUUUUGAUAUAA